UUGCUCUCUUACUUUUGGUCCCUCUUUUAUACCAUUGCACUCAUACUAGUCACUCUCUUGCCGACCACGCAAUCCGAUCCAUUUUCCUCCCUCUGCUCGGCGAGUACCAGCAACUAACCCCCUCUCUCUCUGCUUAACCCUCGCGGUACCCCUCCUCUCACCCUGUCGUUUCUUCCGUCCACCCACUUUCUACCCCAUUUCCUCCCCUUUGCUCUCUCAUCACUGUGCCAGCUUCUAUCCUUGCCCACCCAUUUUCUCUCACUCUUUUCGGUGGUAAAAGCAGUGGCGUAGUCAACAAAAUUUCCCUUCAUUGGAAGAGGAACAUUACAUCUCUUUUCCUCUUCGUCGAGGGAUGACAGUUGUAAGGGCCACGGUACCAGAGAUAUACAGUUCUAUGCGGCUGUAUAUUCGUAUCACGAAAAAGAAUGAUCAUUGGAGGAUCGAGAUGGAAUAUGGAAUCUGGAGUCUUCACGCCGCGGGUGAACUUUGGGCUGACCCGCGUCUCGCCCGAAGGCACUCGAUUCUGCCACCCAGUGCCACGCAGUUGCUUCCGAGGGCUGCGUUCGCCCUGAGCGGUCUUCUUAGACCUGACAUGGUGCCGUUACCGCUCACCUCCACUCCCGACCCCAUGGAACCGUAUGGACCUAUGGAGUUGGUCGCCAAAUCCUCCUCCAACGAGAGGGACGCGGAGAACAGCGAGCCCGAAGAGAAGAACGAGGAGAAACACGAGGACAACGAAGGAAACAUCGAAAAAUCUGACGAAAAUGAUAAUCAGGGUGUUUACCCUACUGUACCAAAAGAAAACAACGACAACGAGGAUGCAGGGGAGGAGAGCGACACCGGAAGUACGAACAGUUCGCAUCGGUCCGCCAACAAUAAUUUGUCGACGACGCUACUCGACCCGAUGGCUUAUCUUACUUUCGAUAAGGAAGGAUCAGUGACACCAGUCCUAAAUGGCUUGGUACUCAGCGCCUACACCGCCAUGCUCGGCAGACUUUCUGCAGCAACCGCGGCUCUGGAGGCUACAGAAAUCCCAAACGUCCCUUCCGACAGUGAUUCAGAGAGCGAGCAUUCCUCUUACACAGAAAAGUCACGAGGUAGCAGUCCAAAUGUUAGUAACGCGCAUCGCGGAUAUUCCUGCGGCUCCUGCGACGUGGUUGCACCGACGAGGCCUGCUCUGCGAAAGCACAUCGCCGACUGUCACCCAACAGUGUCUAGCACGGAAACGGGAGAAACGAAAAGUUGUCCGUCGUCGGGCUGUGAUUUCACAACGACAAGUAGGUGCGAGAUGGAGACUCACGUGGCUGCACACGUGGCUCAAGGAAUGACUCCCACAGGAAAGAAACGUACCCUGGCAUUGCAACGUGUCAGGUAUAGGUACUUAGCGCUUAUACGAGAGAGAAGAGUACCGGUGUUCGCUAUGUUCAUAUGCCUGUACCAUCGAAAAGGCGUUUCAGAGGCAUUUAAGGGCUCACGCAAAAGGUACAGCACCGGAAACAAGGGUGAGCUGCGCCGUUUGCGGUGCGGACAGAUCCUCAGAGGUCGAUCUCAGCAGACACAUGAGAAGGCAUCGUGACGAUCGAUACUUUUGCUGCGACAUUUGUAUCUUUCGCACGGUUCAAUUGAAAAAGCUGAUCCAGCAUCGACGAAUGCACACGGGCGAGAAACCACACCUGUGCCCACACUGCGCCUACAGAAGCGCACGCCGCGACAAUCUGCGGAG
rnacentral:misc_RNA from 1 species